rnacentral:rRNA from 1 species
UACAGAGGGGGCAAGCGUUAUUCGGAAUUAUUGGGCGUAAAGGGCGCGUAGGCGGCUUGGCAAGUGGAAGGUGAAAUCCCUCGGCUUAACCGAGGAACUGCCUUCCAGACUGCUUUGCUUGAGGCCGGGAGAGGUGAGUGGAAUUCCCAGUGUAGCGGUGAAAUGCGUAGAUAUUGGGAGGAACACCAGUGGCGAAGGCGGCUCACUGGACCGGUUCUGACGCUGAGGCGCGAAAGCGUGGGGAGCAAACGGG